CCUACGGGAGGCAGCAGUGGGGAAUAUUGGGCAAUGGAGGAAACUCUGACCCAGCGACGCCGCGUGCGGGAUGAAGGCCUUCGGGUUGUAAACCGCUUUCAGUAGGGAAGAAGCGAAAGUGACGAUACCUACAGAAGAAGCACCGGCUAACUAUGUGCCAGCAGCCGCGGUAAUACAUAGGGUGCAAGCGUUGUCCGGAAUUAUUGGGCGUAAAGAGCUCGUAGGUGGUUCGUCACGUCGGAUGUGAAAAUCUGGGGCUCAACCCCAGACCUGCAUUCGAUACGGGCGAUCUAGAGUGUGGUAGGGGAGACUGGAAUUCCUGGUGUAGCGGUGGAAUGCGCAGAUAUCAGGAGGAACACCAAUGGCGAAGGCAGGUCUCUGGGCCAUUACUGACACUGAGGAGCGAAAGCGUGGGUAGCGAACAGGAUUAGAUACCCUGGUAGUCCACGCCGUAAACGGUGGGCACUAGUUGUGGGAACCUUCCACGGUUUCUGCGACGCAGCUAACGCAUUAAGUGCCCCGCCUGGGGAGUACGAUCGCAAGAAUUAAAACACAAAUAGAAGUUAGUACGGCGUGAGACGUGCCGACGGACGACGACGAGGGAGGUUAGG
rnacentral:rRNA from 1 species